rnacentral:rRNA from 1 species
ACGAGGACGCUUCCUUCGGGAAGCGAGCGUACACAGGUGCUGCAUGGCUGUCGUCAGCUCGUGUCGUGAGAUGUUGGGUUAAGUCCCGCAACGAGCGCAACCCUUGUGUUUAGUUGCAAACAGGUCAAGCUGUGCACUCUAGACAGACUGCCGUGGACAACACGGAGGAAGGUGGGGAUGACGUCAAAUCAUCAUGCCCCUUAUGAUCUGGGCUACACACGUGCUACAAUGGCCGGUACAACGGGCAGCGAAGGAGCGAUCCGGAGCGAAUCCUAAAAAGCCGGUCCCAGUUCGGAUUGCAGGCUGAAACUCGCCUACAUGAAGUUGGAGUUGCUAGUAAUCGCGAAUCAGAAUGUCGCGGUGAAUGCGUUCCCGGGUCUU